rnacentral:rRNA from 1 species
AUUGAACGCUGGCGGCAGGCCUAACACAUGCAAGUCGAGCGGAACGGCGGACGGGUGGGUAAUGCCUGUGAAUCAGCCUGCUCGUUGGGGAUGAAGACCGGCAACGGGCGGUAAUAACUACUACUUGCAGUUGGACCUAGGUCGGAUUAGCUAGUUGGUGGGGUAAAGGCCUACCAAGGCGACGAUCCGUAACUGGUCUGCGAGGAUGAUCAGUCACACUGGAACUGAGACACGGUCCAGACUCCUACGGGAGGCAGCAGUGGGGAAUAUUGGACAAUGGGCGAAAGCCUGAUGCAGCCAUGCCGCGUGUGUGAAGAAGGCCUUCGGAUUGUAAAGCACUUUAAGUUGGGAGGCGUUACCCGCAGAAGAAGCACCGGCUAACUCCGUGCCAGCCGCCGCGGUAAUUC